UCAGGAUGAACGCUGGCGACGUGCUUAACACAUGCAAGUCGAACGGAGUGACUUCAAUCUCGGAUUCGUCUGAUUUAGCUGUACACUUAGUGGCGGACGGGUGAGUAACGCGUGGGUAACCUGCCUCAUACAGGGGGAUAGCAGCUGGAAACGGCUGAUAAAACCGCAUAAGCGCACACUACCGCAUGAUAGAGUGUGAAAAAACUCCGGUGGUAUGAGAUGGACCCGCGUCUGAUUAGCUUGUUGGUGAGGUAACGGCCCACCAAGGCGACGAUCAGUAGCCGGCCUGAGAGGGUGAACGGCCACAUUGGGACUGAGACACGGCCCAAACUCCUACGGGAGGCAGCAGUGGGGAAUAUUGCACAAUGGGGGAAACCCUGAUGCAAGCGACGCCGCGUGAAGGAUGACGUAUUUCGGUAUGUAAACUUCUAUCAGCAGGGAAGAACAAGUGACGGUACCUGACUAAGAAGCCCCGGCUAACUACGUGCCAGCAGCGGC
rnacentral:rRNA from 1 species